rnacentral:rRNA from 1 species
AUUGAACGCUGGCGGUAUGCUUAAGACAUGCAAGUCGAACGGUAACAGGUUAAGCUGACGAGUGGCGGACGAGUGAGUAACGCGUGGGAAUCUACCUUGUAGUGGGGGAUAAGCCAGGGAAACUUGGACUAAUACCGCAUACGCCCUAAGGGGGAAAGGCGCAAGUCGCUAUAAGGUGAGCCCGCGUCUGAUUAGGUAGUUGGUGGGGUAAAGGCCUACCAAGCCGACGAUCAGUAGCUGGUCUGAGAGGAUGAUCAGCCACGUCGGGACUGAGACACGGCCCGGACUCCUACGGGAGGCAGCAGUCGGGAAUAUUGGACAAUGGGGGAAACCCUGAUCCAGCAAUACCGCGUGUGUGAAGAAGGCCUGCGGGUUGUAAAGCACUUUCAGUUGGGAAGAUAAUGACGUUACCAACAGAAGAAGCACCGGCUAACUCCGUG